GUUGGCAUGGCGGCGUGCUUACCAUGCAGUCGAACGAGAACGGAUUAUAGCUUGCUAUAAUUGUCAGCUAAGUGGCGCACGGGUGAGUAAUGUAUAGAUAACCUGCCCUUAAGAAAGGAAUAACAGUUGGAAACGACUGCUAAUGCCCUAUAUGCCUUUAAUACAUAAGUAUGCAAGGGAAACGCUUUAGUGCUUAAGGAUGGGUCUGUAUGGUAUCAGCUUGUUGGUGAGGUGAUGGCUCACCAAGACUAUGACGCCUAACUGGUUUGAGAGGAUGAUCAGUCACACUGGAACUGAGACACGGUCCAGACUCCUACGGGAGGCAGCAGUGGGGAAUAUUGCACAAUGGACGAAAGUCUGAUGCAGCAACGCCGCGUGGAGGAUGACACAUUUCGGUGCGUAAACUCCUUUUAUAUAGGAAGAUAAUGACGGUACUAUAUGAAUAAGCACCGGCUAACUCCGUGCCAGCAGCCGCGGUAAUACGGAGGGUGCAAGCGUUACUCGGAAUCACUGGGCGUAAAGAGCGUGUAGGCGGGUAUAUAAGUCAGAAGUGAAAUCCAAUAGCUCAACUAUUGAACUGCUUUUGAAACUGUAUACCUAGAAUGUGGGAGAGGUAGAUGGAAUUUCUGGUGUAGGGGUAAAAUCCGUAGAGAUCAGAAGGAAUACCGAUUGCGAAGGCGAUCUACUGGAACAUUAUUGACGCUGAGACGCGAAAGCGUGGGGAGCAAACAGGAUUAGAUACCCUGGUAGUCCACGCCCUAAACGAUGUACACUAGUUGUUGUGGGGCUCGACCUUGCGGUAAUGCAGUUAACACAUUAAGUGUACCGCCUGGGGAGUACGGUCGCAAGAUUAAAACUCAAAGGAAUAGACGGGGACCCGCACAAGCGGUGGGGCAUGUGGUUUAAUUCGACGAUACACGAAGAACCUUACCUGGACUUGACAUAGUAAGAACCUUUCUAGAGAUAGAUUGGUGUCUGCUUGCAGA
rnacentral:rRNA from 1 species